UACGGAGGGUGCAAGCGUUAUCCGGAUUCACUGGGUUUAAAGGGUGCGUAGGCGGGCAGGUAAGUCCGUGGUGAAAUCUCUGAGCUUAACUCAGAAACUGCCAUGGAUACUAUUUGUCUUGAAUAUUGUGGAGGUAAGCGGAAUAUGUCAUGUAGCGGUGAAAUGCUUAGAUAUGAUAUAGAACACCGAUUGCGAAGGCAGCUUACUAAACAGACAUUGACGCUGAGGCACGAAAGCGUGGGGAUCAAACAGG
rnacentral:rRNA from 1 species